rnacentral:tRNA from 1 species
UCUGGUUUAACAUAUAUUUAAUGUGAAGAAUUGUAAAUUCUUUAAAAGUUUAAACUA